UACAGAGGUCCCAAGCGUUGCUCGGAAUCACUGGGCGUAAAGCGCACGUAGGCGGCUUUCUAAGUCAGGGGUGAAAUCCUGGAGCUCAACUCCAGAACUGCCUUUGAUACUGGAGAGCUUGAGUCCGGAAGAGGUGAGUGGAACUCCGAGUGUAGAGGUGAAAUUCGUAGAUAUUCGGAAGAACACCAGUGGCGAAGGCGGCUCACUGGUCCGGUACUGACGCUGAGGUGCGAAAGCGUGGGGAGCAAACAGG
rnacentral:rRNA from 1 species